CUUUGGUGCCAAAUGGCAUAAACGGGAAUCUGGUGUAAAUCCAGAACUGGCGCGCAGCGGUAACGAGGAACGAUACGACAUGGGGUAACCCAGGCACUGCUCAAUAGAGUGGGAAGCCGUCGUUUAGGUGAGCAAUAGCUCGAGCCUCCAAGUCCGAAAACCUGCCAAAGAG
rnacentral:ncRNA from 1 species